UUUGAAUGUGAAAACAUGGACGAUGAUUUCAAGACUUGCUGCUAUCGAAUACAGAUCGCCCCGUGAUCAAUUUAAUAGAUUAUUAACGUUUAUUAAUACCUAAAGUUGGUUUAGAAAAGUAAUUUGAAGUGAUUUGUAAAAGUAUAUAGGGAACUUUUGUAAAUUUUAAAAAGUGACGUUGCGUCUUGUAAAGGGGCAUUUUUCUGGAUCAGACCGGUCUUCAGCAAAUCACAUUUUGGGUAUACAAUGACGGAUUUAAUCGGGAAAAAGACCCAAUUGUGAUGUUUAUGUGACAUAUAGGAGUGCCAAGAAAGAAGCUCGUCAAAGAAUUUCCACCAGUGGCGCAUUUUAUGAAGCGUGAAAUUCCAGUCCAAACCAAAAGACAAUGAGACACGCCCAGACCCUAACAUUGAGCUGCCCAGGAGGAGACAGAUCAUCCGCAAACAAUUGAAGAAAACAUCGACUUAAUUUUGGACUGAAUCGAGGCGGUGGGUCACGUGUGUAACUGUAAGAAGCUAAGGUCUUAAGCCAUGGUUUUACCAGAAGGAUUGUACAACCCAGAAUGAAAGUCUGAGUCACAGCAGCUCUCUAUUCAGGAGAGUAGAGGAGAGGUCAUGUGUAACGGCUGUCGUG
ensembl:lncRNA